UACGUAGGGUGCAAGCGUUAAUCGGAAUUACUAGGCGUAAAGCGUGCGCAGGCGGUUCUGAAAGUCAGCUGUGAAAGCCCCGGGCUUAACCUGGGAAUGGCGGUUGAAACUACAGGACUAGAAUCUGGCAGAGGGGGGUGGAAUUCCACGUGUAGCAGUGAAAUGCGUAGAGAUGUGGAGGAACACCGAUGGCGAAGGCAGCCCCCUGGGCUGAGAUUGACGCUCAGGCACGAAAGCGUGGGGAGCAAACAGG
rnacentral:rRNA from 1 species